UUCCUAGUAUAGGAAACAUGCUAAGUGGAGGUGAUGAAGCGAUAACUGGCUUGGGGCAGCCAAGCGUUCAAAACGAUGUUGCCUCUCGAUCCUUCGAUGUCGGUUCUUCCUAUCAUACUGAAGCUGAAUUCAGUGAGCGUUAGAUUGUUCACCCAUUAAUAGGGGAACAAGACCUGGCGUUUAGGCUGUCGUGAGAUAGGUUUGUUUUACCCUACUGAUGACAUGUUAUUGCAAUAGUAAUUGAACUUUGUCCUCGAGGAACCGUUCAUUCGGAUAAUUGGUAUUUGGGCCUGUCUGAGCAGGCAAGGGCCAGAAGCUAUCAUCCGUUGGGUUAUGGCUGAACGCCUCUAAGUCAGAACCCGUGCUAGAACGCGACAAAUUUCCGUCUUUCUGAUUUAUAGUUGAAUACGAAUAGAUCUUCGGACCCUAAAUCAUAUUACAGGGGAUCGAUCUUGAAGAGUUACAAGGCGUUAUGUGGUUCCUGCUAAUGUUAAAUUCAAAUAUUGAAAGAGAUAGAUGGAGACGACUUUAAUUGAACGGGUUAUUGUAGGCAGUAGAGUUGCCUUGUUGCUACGAUCUGCUGACAUUAAGCCCGUUGUCCUAUAGAUUU
rnacentral:ncRNA from 1 species